CCCCGUACACAAAAAUGCACAUAUUGUGAGCUUGAUGAGUAGGGCGGGACACGUGGUAUCCUGUCUGAAUAUGGGGGGACCAUCCUCCAAGGCUAAAUACUCCUGACUGACCGAUAGUGAACCAGUACCGUGAGGGAAAGGCGAAAAGAACCCCGGCGAGGGGAGUGAAAAAGAACCUGAAACCGUGUACGUACAAGCAGUGGGAGCACGCUUAGGCGUGUGACUGCGUACCUUUUGUAUAAUGGGUCAGCGACUUAUAUUCUGUAGCAAGGUUAACCGAAUAGGGGAGCCGAAGGGAAACCGAGUCUUAACUGGGCGUUAAGUUGCAGGGUAUAGACCCGAAACCCGGUGAUCUAGCCAUGGGCAGGUUGAAGGUUGGGUAACACUAACUGGAGGACCGAACCGACUAAUGUUGAAAAAUUAGCGGAUGACUUGUGGCUGGGGGUGAAAGGCCAAUCAAACCGGGAGAUAGCUGGUUCUCCCCGAAAGCUAUUUAGGUAGCGCCUCGUGAAUUCAUCUCCGGGGGUAGAGCACUGUUUCGGCA
rnacentral:rRNA from 1 species